CAGCUGAUCGAGGUCUUCAGGAUCACCACACACUUCAGACAGGUGUGUGGACAGACCGGAGAUAAACUCUGCAGGAUGCUGGUCCUCCAGGACAUCACUGUUUUUGUGUCAGAUGCAGAUAAAGAGUCACUAGGAACAGGUCACUGCAUCUUUUGUCAUGUAGAUGCUGGAAUAAAAAGCAGCCAGGCUACAGCAUCUAAAAUGGAGACUUCUAUUAACGUGGCUCUGUAACAUAAGAGUCUUGAGACGGUGGAAGGAGCAGAAGAUCAGAGAUCAGGCAGAGCUCUACUGGUGCC